UUUUAUCCUAAAUGUCUGUCUGUGAGUCUGAUCUAUCUUUACUCACGGCAUGCCCCACUACAACAAAAACGGUCUAUAGCGACACUUUUAAAUGUAGGUACAUGUCAAAAAAGUGCUGCUAGCUAAAAUUACCGACACUUUUAAAAAGUAUUGCUAUAUGUGAGGUCGCUAGGUAUAUAGUGACAGUUAAAGAGUUUCGCUAUAACCUAAAAGAGUAUUGCUAAUUUACCAAAUGGACUGGGUGUGGUGGGUUGAGCAGAGUAAUCUUUUAUUUUUGGUUGGAUUGGGCUUUAUAUUUAGACAUUAGUAGAUGUUUUUUUAAGUUUUAGCAUAAAUGGGACACUUACUCAAAAGUGUCCCAAACAUGUGUCCUUAUAACCUAAUUCUGUUGUAGUGCCUGCUCUGGUGCCAAUAGAUCGAUGAUGCGUGUAUAGAUCGCACUAGUUUAAUUAGUUAAAAAUAUCCUUUUUUUCAGUCCCUG
rnacentral:lncRNA from 1 species